CCCCCCCCCCCCCCCCCCCCCCCCCCCCCCCCCCCCCCCCCCCCCCCCCCCCCCCCCCCCCCCCCCCCCCCCCCCCCCCCCCCCCCCCCCCUCCCAGUCCAUCCCAGUCCAUCCCAGUCCAUCCCAGUCCAUCCCAGUCCAUCCCAGUCCAUCCCAGUCCAUCCCAGUCCAUCCCAGUCCAUCCCAGUCCAUCCCAGUCCAUCCCAGUCCAUCCCAGUCCAUCCCAGUCCAUCCCAGUCCAUCCCAGUCCAUCCCAGUCCAUCCCAGUCCAUCCCAGUCCAUCCCAGUCCAUCCCAGUCCAUCCCAGUCCAUCCCAGUCCAUCCCAGUCCAUCCCAGUCCAUCCCAGUCCAUCCCAGUCCAUCCCAGUCCAUCCCAGUCCAUCCCAGUCCAUCCCAGUCCAUCCCAGUCCAUCCCAGUCCAUCCCAGUCCAUCCCAGUCCAUCCCAGUCCAUCCCAGUCCAUCCCAGUCCAUCCCAGUCCAUCCCAGUCCAUCCCAGUCCAUCCCAGUCCAUCCCAGUCCAUCCCAGUCCAUCCCAGUCCAUCCCAGUCCAUCCCAGUCCAUCCCAGUCCAUCCCAGUCCAUCCCAGUCCAUCCCAGUCCAUCCCAGUCCAUCCCAGUCCAUCCCAGUCCAUCCCAGUCCAUCCCAGUCCAUCCCAGUCCAUCCCAGUCCAUCCCAGUCCAUCCCAGUCCAUCCCAGUCCAUCCCAGUCCAUCCCAGUCCAUCCCAGUCCAUCCCAGUCCAUCCCAGUCCAUCCCAGUCCAUCCCAGUCCAUCCCAGUCCAUCCCAGUCCAUCCCAGUCCAUCCCAGUCCAUCCCAGUCCAUCCCAGUCCAUCCCAGUCCAUCCCAGUCCAUCCCAGUCCAUCCCAGUCCAUCCCAGUCCAUCCCAGUCCAUCCCAGUCCAUCCCAGUCCAUCCCAGUCCAUCCCAGUCCAUCCCAGUCCAUCCCAGUCCAUCCCAGUCCAUCCCAGUCCAUCCCAGUCCAUCCCAGUCCAUCCCAGUCCAUCCCAGUCCAUCCCAGUCCAUCCCAGUCCAUCCCAGUCCAUCCCAGUCCAUCCCAGUCCAUCCCAGUCCAUCCCAGUCCAUCCCAGUCCAUCCCAGUCGCUCCCAGUUGCUCCCAGUCCAUCCCAUUCCAUCCCAGUCCAUCCCAGUCCAUCCCAGUUCCAUCCCAGUCCAUCCCAGUCCAUCCCAGUUCCAUUUUAUCCCAUCCCAGUUCCAUCCCAGUCCACCCCAGCCUCAUCCCAGUUCCAUCCCAGUCCAUCCCAGUUCCAUUUUAUCCCAUCCCAAUUCCAUCCCAGUCCAUCCCAGUCCAUCCCAGUUCCAUCCCAGUCCAUCCUAGUUCCAUUUUAUCCCAUCCCAGUUCUAUCCCAGUCCAUCCCAGUCCAUCCCAGUUCCAUCCCAGUCCAUCCUAGUUCCAUUUUAUCCCAUCCCAGUUCUAUCCCAGUCCAUCCCAGUCCAUCCCAGUUCCAUCCCAGUCCAUCCUAGUUCCAUUUUAUCCCAUCCCAGUUCUAUCCCAGUCCAUCCCAGUCCAUCCCAGUUCCAUCCCAGUCCAUCCUAGUUCCAUUUUAUCCCAUCCCAGUUCUAUCCCAGUCCAUCCCAGUCCAUCCCAGUUCCAUCCCAGUCCAUCCUAGUUCCAUUUUAUCCCAUCCCAGUUCUAUCCCAGUCCAUCCCAGUCCAUCCCAGUUCCAUCCCAGUCCAUCCUAGUUCCAUUUUAUCCCAUCCCAGUUCUAUCCCAGUCCAUCCCAGUCCAUCCCAGUUCCAUCCCAGUCCAUCCUAGUUCCAUUUUAUCCCAUCCCAGUUCUAUCCCAGUCCAUCCCAGUCCAUCCCAGUUCCAUCCCAGUCCAUCCUAGUUCCAUUUUAUCCCAUCCCAGUUCUAUCCCAGUCCAUCCCAGUCCAUCCCAGUUCCAUCCCAGUCCAUCCUAGUUCCAUUUUAUCCCAUCCCAGUUCUAUCCCAGUCCAUCCCAGUCCAUCCCAGUUCCAUCCCAGUCCAUCCUAGUUCCAUUUUAUCCCAUCCCAGUUCUAUCCCAGUCCAUCCCAGUCCAUCCCAGUUCCAUCCCAGUCCAUCCUAGUUCCAUUUUAUCCCAUCCCAGUUCUAUCCCAGUCCAUCCCAGUCCAUCCCAGUUCCAUCCCAGUCCAUCCUAGUUCCAUUUUAUCCCAUCCCAGUUCUAUCCCAGUCCAUCCCAGUCCAUCCCAGUUCCAUCCCAGUCCAUCCUAGUUCCAUUUUAUCCCAUCCCAGUUCUAUCCCAGUCCAUCCCAGUCCAUCCCAGUUCCAUCCCAGUCCAUCCCAGUUCCAUUUUAUCCUGUCCCAGUUCCAUCCCAGUCCCUCCCAGCACCAUUUUAUCCUAUCUCAGUUCCAUCCCAGUCCAUCCCAGUCUUUCCCAGUCCCAUUUCAUGACUUGCCAGGGCUCCCUGGGGGUCCCUGGGGGUCCCUGGUGGUCCCUGGUGGUCCCUGGUGGUCCCUGGGGGUCCCAGCUGCCCCCGGGGGUCCCUGACCCCGCGUCCCCCCCAGUUCAAGCGCCUGCUCAGCCGGGAGCUGUCGCAGCUGUCGGGGCUGAGCCGCGUCCCAUCCCAGUUCCAUCCCAGUCCAUCCCAGUCCCAUUUUAUCCUAUCUCAGUUCCAUCCCAGUCCAUCCCAGUCUUUCCCAGUCCCAUUUCAUGACUUGCCAGGGCUCCCUGGGGGUCCCUGGGGGUCCCUGGUGGUCCCUGGUGGUCCCUGAUCCCAGUUCCAUCCCAGUCCAUCCCAGUCCCGUUUUAUCUUGUUUGUAUUUCGGCUGUAUUCUGGCUCUAUUCUGGCUGUAUUUAGGGUGUUUUUU
rnacentral:lncRNA from 12 species